rnacentral:rRNA from 1 species
UACGGAGGAUGCGAGCGUUAUCCGGAUUUAUUGGGUUUAAAGGGUGCGUAGGCGGACUGUCAAGUCAGCGGUAAAAUUGAGAGGCUCAACCUCUUCCCGCCGUUGAAACUGGUGGUCUUGAGUGGAUGAGAAGUACGCGGAAUGCGUGGUGUAGCGGUGAAAUGCAAAGAUAUCACGCAGAACUCCGAUUGCGAAGGCAGCGUACCGGCAUCCAACUGACGCUGAGGCACGAAAGCGUGGGGAUCAAACAGG